AGAUAAUACAUUGAAAGCUAUAGGCCAGUGAUUAAACAGCACCACACUAUGGAAAGGAUAUCAGUCAUUUAUAACAAUACAUAUUCAAUAUUUUAUAGCGCUAUUCAUUAUAUAAAGAAAUCUCAAAGCAACAACAACAAAUAACAUUAAAUUCAAAAACAAAAACAUCAUUAAUCAUCAUGAGUUGAUCGACGGUCAAGAGACUGAAGGUUGACAAAGUUCAUGGCUUGAGUGAGGUCAGCGUGGGAAGGAUGAGGUCAGCGUGGGAAGGAUGAGGUCAGAGUGGGAAGGAUGAGGUCAGAGUGGGAAGGAUGAGGUCAGAGUGGGAAGGAUGAGGUCAGAGUGGGAAGGAUGAGGUCAGAGUGGGAAGGAUGAGGUCAGCGGAGGGAAGGAUGAGGUCAGAGUGGGAAGGAUGUGGUCAGAGUGGGAAGGAUGAGCUCAGCGGAGGGAAGGAUGUGGUCAGCGGAGGGAAGGAUGUGGUCAGCGGUGGGAAGUAUGAGGUCAGAGUGGGAAGGAUGUGGUCAGCGGAGGGAAGGAUGUGCUGAGAGUGGGAAGAAUGAGGUCAGCGGAGGGAAGGAUGUGGUCAGAUUGGGAAGGAUGUGGUCAGAGUGGGAAGGAUGUGGUCAGAGUGGGAAGGAUGUGGUCAGAGUGAAAAGGAUGUGGUCAGCAGAGGGAAGGAUGAGGUCAGCAGAGGGAAGGAUGUGGUCAGCAGAGGGAAGGAUGUGGUCAGCAGAGGGAAGGAUGUGGUCAGCAGAGGGAAGGAUGUGGUCAGCAGAGGGAAGGAUGUGGUCA
ensembl:lncRNA